rnacentral:lncRNA from 1 species
UUUUUAGGAUUUUUGUUGUUAUUAUGUACAUUAAUGGUCAAAGACCACACAAACAAACAAAGUAUACACAAACAAAAUAUAUCACACAAUAUGGUCCAAGUGGACAAAGUGAAAAUUGCAUUAACAUAAACAAAGUAUACACAAACAAAAUAUAUCACACAAUAUGGUCCAAGUGGACAAAGUGAAAAUUGCAUUAACAUAAACAAUUAGAAUGAUAUGAAUAAUGGCAAAUGUAUAA